UUCGCUUCUAGCCUAUGUGCUAUGAUCAGUUUGAUUUAAAAAGUUCUAAGUCAUUUAACCAUGACUUGUUGCCCACAGGGCAAUCAUGAGUUAACUGAUCUUUCUUUUGAAUGGGCUGAGAAACCAGGUUUCUCGGCUCGCGGGUUGCGCUUGAUUUCACUCCUCUCGCAGCGGCCCAUAAAGG